UUGCUUCAAUGGGAAAAACAGAAGAGGAGAAAUAGAGCAAGAGAAACACCUAAAACGUCUUCCAUCAUGGCGAGAAGGAUCAAACUCGGAUCCCAGAAAUUCAGAGCAGGAUGAAAUUCUUUGUGGUAUGCAAGACAACAAUCAAAGAGGAAUGUCAAUCACACUGGAGGAUUGUUAUAUGCAUCUAUGACUGAAUAUACAUUUUGAGCCCAGAUACAUGUGUUAAAACAGCAAGAAGAGGAGACGCUGUAAAGGCAUACGUUGGAAUGCUAAUAAUUUUGGAUCGUGAGACUACAGAUUUGAACUGGGAUCUCCUGUGAAUACCACAAUGGAUUCUUCUUUGUGGACUCAACUGGUAUUUUCCUGCACAAGCAGCAGCAUUUCAGCAUGGAAGCCCUGUCCCUUCUAGCAAACGCCAUUGUUGAUCACAUUUCUCAAGAGUUUAUAGGACACGUGGUGUUCUCAGGUGUGGGACUGGUACUCUGAGGGUCUUCCCUUGAUUUUCAGCCAUGUGCCCAGUGUCAUCAGAGCUCUGAUCCUCACAAGAACAUGGCAUCUGGAGUGGAAAAAACAUCCAGUUCCCCAAUCCAGCUCUGCUCUUGUUUUAUAGUCUUGGGAAAUCAUGUGGUUUCUCUGAGCUCUGUCCAUAAAAUGGAUUGAAUGGUAUCUCUGCCACUCCUGGUCCUCGGAUUUUAGGCUGUAUCCAAAAGUUAAUGUCCAUGGAGCUGCUUUGUAAAGCACUACGGCACCAAAGCACUGUUGAUGGAUAAACACAGCUGUGUUUGCAAUUCUCCUUCGGUCUUUCAACUUGAUUGACAGUUGUGUGGUGUAAGUAAGUCUCAGAAUUCUGUGAAGGCAGAUGUAUGUCCUGCACACAGUUCCAGGACGUCACACUUUUCCUCUGCAUUUCUUCUUGCUUGUUGGUCUAUUUUAGGUCUUUAUUCAAUUUGAACAGUUCCUUAAUUCUGAUGGCAAAUCUUUCUCCAGGUUGUUAAUAAAAUCUUGAGGGGCUGUGG